GUAGGUGGCGAGCGUUGUCCGGAAUUAUUGGGCGUAAAGCGCGCGCAGGCGGUUCUUUAAGUCUGAUGUGAAAGCCCACGGCUCAACCGUGGAGGGUCAUUGGAAACUGGAGAACUUGAGUACAGAAGAGGAAAGCGGAAUUCCACGUGUAGCGGUGAAAUGCGUAGAGAUGUGGAGGAACACCAGUGGCGAAGGCGGCUUUCUGGUCUGUAACUGACGCUGAGGCGCGAAAGCGUGGGGAGCAAACAGGGAUUAGAUACCCUGGUAGUCCACGCCGUAAACGAUGAGUGCUAAGUGUUAGGGGGUUUCCGCCCCCUUAGUGCUGCAGCUAACGCAUUAAGCACUCCGCCUGGGGAUACGGCCGCAAGGCUG
rnacentral:rRNA from 1 species